GGAGAAUUGCCAGAGUGGUCGAAUGGACUGGUCUUGAAAACCAGCGUACUUCACGGUACCGUAGGUUCGAAUCCUACAUUCUCCG
rnacentral:tRNA from 1 species